GAUGAACGCUGGCGGCGUGCCUAAUACAUGCAAGUCGAGCGAACAGAUGAGGAGCUUGCUCCUCUGACGUUAGCGGCGGACGUGUGAGUAACACGUGGAUAACCUACCUAUAAUACUGGGAUAACUUCGGGAAACCGGAUCUAAUACCGUAUAAUAUAUUGAACCGCAUGGUUCAAUAGUGAAAGACGGUUUUGCUGUCACUUAUAGAUGGAUCCGCGCCGGAUUAGCUAGUUGGUAAGGUAACGGCUUACCAAGGCAACGAUGCGUAGCCGACCUGAGAGGGUGAUCGGCGACACUGGAACUGAGACACGGACCAGACGCCUACGGGAGGCAGCAGUAGGGAAUCUUACGCAAUGGGCGAAAGCAUGACGGAGCAACGCCGCGUGAGUGAUGAAGGUCUUCGGAUCGUAAAACUCUGUUAUUAGGGAAGAAAAAAUGUGUAAGUAAAUAUGCACGUCUUGACGGUACCUAAUCAGAAAGCCACGGCUAACUACGUG
rnacentral:rRNA from 1 species